rnacentral:rRNA from 1 species
GAUUAGAGUGUGCUAGCUUGCUAGAAUUUAGAUACAGGUGCUGCACGGCUGUCGUCAGCUCGUGUCGUGAGAUGUUGGGUUAAGUCCCGCAACGAGCGCAACCCUCGUGUUUAGUUGCUAACAGUUCGGCUGAGAACUCUAAACAGACUGCCUACGCAAGUAGGAGGAAGGUGAGGACGACGUCAAGUCAUCAUGGCCCUUAUGUCCAGGGCGACACACGUGCUACAAUGGCCGGCACAACGGGAAGCGAGUUCGCGAGGACGAGCGGAUCCCUCAAAGCCGGUCGCAGUUCGGAUUGAAGUCUGCAACUCGACUUCAUGAAGCUGGAAUCGCUAGUAAUCGUGGAUCAGCCAAGCCGCGGUGAAUACGUUCCCGGGCCUU